GCCAUUGUGGUGUAGUGGUUUUGGCACUGGUCUAGGACUCUGGAAGUCAGGGUUUGAUUCCCUGCUUGAGCA